GAAAUUUAUAGUAAGAGGAAAAUCCGUCGAUUUCAAAAAUCAUGAGGGUUCAAGUCCCUCUAUCCCC
rnacentral:tRNA from 1 species